UACAGAGGUCUCGAGCGUUAGGCGGAAUCACUGGGCUUAAAGCGCGUGUAGGCGGAUCGUUAAAGUACCUUGUGAAAUCCCACGGCUUAACCGUGGAACUGCUGGGUAUACUGGCGGUCUUGUGCCAUCUAGGGGCCUGCGGAACAAACGGUGGAGCGGUGAAAUGCGUAGAUAUCGUUUGGAACGCCAAUGGUGAAAACAGCAGGCUGGGGAUGUGCAGACGCUGAGACGCGAAAGCCAGGGGAGCAAACGGGG
rnacentral:rRNA from 1 species